CCCACCAGCUACCUGGGGCUGCCAAGAGUUGCCUCAUUGGAACAAGAGAUACUUGUCCCAUCCCUGUCACUCAGAUGCUCCUGCGUUCAGUCUGGGUAUUUGGGGCUGCUCCUCCCCGGCAUGUACUAAGUAGUGGUCUCUUGAAGAAUGUGUGCUGAGCCCCACUGUGUGCUGGGAGCCAUGCUGCGGUGGUGCAGGACAAACGAGCCCACGGGAGGCCCAGCUGCAGGAGCUUGCGAUCUUGACGAGGCCACAGGACAAGCUCACACAGCACGUUGGCUGAGCCAAGCUUCUCCCCGCAGAGCUGAGGCUGGCUGCCUACUUCCCUCCCCUCCCCCCAGCACUGUGGAAGGUCCCUACGCAUUGUUAAAUCCACAGAAGCUGACUGAGAUGGGGUCUGAGGGGUCUUAGGAAAUGAUGUGGGGGCUGGGAACCCUUGGGAAGUGGCAGGGGCAGUGGGUGUGCAGAGGUGCAGAAACGAGAGAACGAGAUCUCUGAGUGUGGGUGCAGGUGGGCAGACAUGGCUCCAGCCCGAGUUCAGGGCACAGAGGCUAGGAGACUCUUCCGGACCAGGCCUCGAGAACCGUGGUGGUUUCAGAGGAGAUGCCCUACUGUGGGGUGUGAGCCUCUUCCUCUCGCCACCGACCUCAUCUGGGCUGGCUCCCAAUUUGCCAUGGUACCCAGGAGGCACACAUCCUCUCAGAGGUGACUACAGGUGCCCACUGCUCCUACUCCAGCCCUUGGGAUGGUCAAGGCAGCAUUUGACUCCCUGAGGGAUAUUCUGAGCAGUUCCAGCUCUGAGCUUUUCUGUGGCUCCUCCUGGGCAACCCCAGAGCCCUUCUUCCCAGCGGUGCCGGGGUCAGGGUUACAGCCUGGAGGAAAGCAGAAGGACUUGAGACUCUUGGACCUGGCCUAUGGAGCCCCAGUGGGUAGGGGAGUGACUGGGACACACUUGGAUCAUGGCCGGGGCAAGUUUUUACAGUCAGUGGCCAGUGGAGGGCAAAAGGCUAGAGGGAGGAGGCCCACCCUGCCUAAAUGGCAUCGAUCACCAAGGAAAAGGCCAGUGGGGAGGAGAGGAAGCAGCUUCUUCCCUGACAGGUUUCCUGAGCCUUGAGCCUCAUUCAUCCCACAAAAGCAACAACCAACACAGCAAAAAGGCUCCAAAUAUGAACAACACACAUCCCAAUCAAUAUGCUAAUUAGGGCUCAUUAGCUGCGAGCAAGCAGGCACAGCCGGGAGGGCAGCACAGGAGGACCUCUCUGGAACCUUCUGUCUGCCCCUGGGGCCUGAACAAGUGCCCAUCUGCCAGCACUCCCAGGCCGCCAGGCCGCCCGGCCUUCUGCUGCAGGACCCCUCGGGGCCCGGCGUUGGGCCUUGUUGUUUUGGUGGUUGGGUUUCUGUGGCGCUGGGCUCUGUCGUGUGUGCAGUCACUGCGCGGGGAGUGCACACUCCAGGCAGACGUUUGCUGAAGUGGGAGUCAGGGGCAGCUGCUCACAGCGGCCGUUCCCGGCAUGGCAGUGCCAGGGGGCUGACCAACACUCUCGCCAAGCUCAUGCCACUAGGUGGGGGCAAGACCCAAUUAGAAGGAGAAAAAGAACAGUGUCGUUUCCUCUUUCUAGUUAACUCUUAGCUAUAGGAUCAAUUGCACUUAAGGCAAAAUAAGAAAGCAGCACGGCCUGGACUGGCUGCCUUUUUAAAUAGUCAUUACUGUUGUUAUUCGCACUGUGAAUCUGUAACCAUCACAGCCUGGAGGUGCUGGUAGCUGUUAUCAGUUCAUAGGUUCCGAGGAAGGGCUACCCAGAAGGGCCCGGGCAGAGCUGGGCUGGUGAGAGAAUUUUGCCAAACGCUCAGUCGGUGCUCCAGUUUUCCAUGCCUUUGGACAAGAGGAGGAGGGAAUGGCUGUGGAUGCCCCUUCCCCUGCUCUGCCAACACCCCUGCUAUGGAGAACUGCCCACCUGGUUGACCAGUCAGUGACCCGGCAAAGGGCUGGCCUUGAGGGCAGUUUGUUGUGGGUGUCCUAUGGGACUAGGCUGAGGCUGGCCUCCUGUUGAGGCCGAGACUUUGUUCAGCCUUCCUCACUCCACAGGGGUCCUCUCCCUGCCUCCACUUCUCCAGGGAGCCCUGCCCUCUGAAACCACACCUGAGGCUGCCAGCACUCCUGGCUGAAGACCCCAGGAGAGCGUCUCCAAGCUGCGCUCUCAGGGACCUGCCUGUGGCCUCAGAAGGACAUCCAUGCAGCCAGCAGAUGUCAUCUGGGCUUCCCCAGCCCUCCUGAACCCAUCUGAACCUGAAUUCAGAGACCUGGUCCUGCCUUUGCCCUUGAAAGUUCCCCUCAGGAAUGACGACUGGUCUUCCUGGGGUCCUCUGCGGCUGGGAAGGAGCUGCUUGGCUGGAAAGCUGCCCCGUGCCAAAUCCAGGGCAUCUGCUGGUGGGUCUGUGCCCACUGCCGACUCUAAAGGAUCUGCUGCUUUUGGACCCGGAUAUAACUAGUGGGGGCUUGAGGUCUCUCUCCUCAUAGCUUCCCAGCCUCCAGCCUUGGCCCCUCAGCCUGUGCUCUGUGAUGUGCUGAGAAAACUUGUUCUUGCCACCAUUCCUGAGAUCUGGGGUGGAAAGUAGGAAGCAUCACGCAUAACACUGCCAACCUCAGGAGGAUUCACGGCCUUGGUACGCCACUCCGUGUGGGGUCCACGGGCCGGGCAGCCUCUCUUCAUGCCUGUGAACACUCUGUGUUCAAAUAAAGACUCACCAAGGCCUGUUGGAGCUGGAAGCAUGAUGCCCAGCUGCAGCCUAACAGAGAGGAGGACUUGCCUGUGUCACCAGCCACGCUGCAGAGUCUCUGCUCCUCUUCAGACCUCACUGUAAGGAGCUGCAUCUUGGGUGCAAUGAUAAAAGUUCAUGUGGAAUAUGUCCCCUGUGGUCUUCUGGCAAAAGCUAUUGGAAAAUGACAAGUGAGAGACAUAGAAGGGCUAUAAAGGGGACAUAAACAUCCUGAUGGCAUUGCAGGAGCUGUGACAAAUCUUGCUUCUCCUCACCUAUUUAAAGAAAGCCGAGGAGAAGGGGCUGGCACAGGGCCCUGUAUAACCUGAUCUUUGUUCACCUGAGGCUCAAGUAUCAGAAUUUGAACACUGGAUGGAGCAGGGUGAGUGUCCUCAUUUUGGUGGUUAACAAAAUGUGGUCUUCUUAGGAAAUAGAAUAUUAUUCAGGCUUAAAAAGGAAGGAAACUCUGACACACUUGAUGGCAGGGAUAAGCCCUGAGGACGGGAGGCUGAGUGAAAUAAACCAGACACUAAAGAGGGAAGCCCGUGGGGUUCCACACACAGGGGUGUUUGUGGAGCCAAAGACGAAUGCUGGAGCUUUUCCAGCUUGCAACUCUGCCCAUCGAGAUGCACUUGCCCGAGGAGCCAGCAUCUUUCCUUGACCCUGCACCUUUGUGGAUAUCAGAUGAAACUAAAACUGUAUCAUCAUUUUGGCAGAUGUGGGCAGAGCGGUGAAGAAUGGGGAACAGGUGACAUGGGACAUCAGCUGUCUGCGAAAUAUUUUCUGGGGGAGACUCCCUGUUAUGCUCAUAUCUCAGAAGUCCUUGGCAAGUUCUGACCCCUUACAAGGGACUUGGGAGAGGAGCAGCCUCAGGCCAAGGUGACUUCAUUGUGGAGACAGAAACUAAUUCCUGUCUAAGUGGGAAGAAGCUCUUUAGCUGCAUUAGGAGCCUAAAAUCUGGGCAGUGCCUAUGGCUCAGUGGGUCGGGGCUGGCCCCAUAUACCAAGGGUGGUGGGUUCGAACCCAGCUCCAACCAAACUGCAACAAAAAAUAGCUGGGUGUUGUAGCGGGUGCCUGUAGUCCCAGCUACUUGGGAGGCUGAGGCAAGAGAAUUGCCUAAGCCCAGGAGUUGGAGGUUACUGUGAACUGUGAUGCCAUAGCACUCUACUAAGGGCAAUAAAGUGAGACUCUGUCUCAAAAAAGAAAAAAUAAAAGAGCCUGAAAUCUGAUGAAAGGUGAAUAGAUUCGAUCUUCCUUGCAUCAGUCACCUGGGAGUUCAUCAGACUCAAACUGAUUAGGAAAAUUCACAUUGAAAGCAUCAUUUAUAAUGGACCCAAAUCAUAGAAAACAUUUGCCUUUGAGGGAGGCAGAAACAGCAUUUCUACCUAAGCCAUAAUCUUUCAUGAUUUCUCCCUUCUUCUUUGCAGGGUUUAACAGCCCCGUCUCCUCCCCAAGACUAAUCAUUAGACUAAUUAGUGGCUAAUCAAUGUUUAAUUAAAACUUAACCAUUAAUUCUAGGAAGUUCCAUGGCAACCUGGGAAUAAAUGUGGUUGCAGGAGAAGGGAUCAGGUUUCCUUAAACUCAGCUGAUGGCCCAAACAGAAAGCCUUCCUUCUCA